rnacentral:rRNA from 1 species
UACGAAGGUCCCAAGCGUUAUCCGGAUUUAUUGGGUUUAAAGGGUGCGUAGGCGGGUUAUUAAGUCAGUGGUGAAAGCCUACAGCUUAACUGUAGAAUUGCCAUUGAUACUGAUGAUCUUGAGUAUGAUUGAGGUGGGCGGAAUGUGUCAUGUAGCGGUGAAAUGCUUAGAUAUGACACAGAACACCGAUUGCGAAGGCAGCUCACUAAGUCAAUAACUGACGCUGAUGCACGAAAGCGUGGGAGCAAACAGG